UACGGAGGGUGCAAGCGUUAUCCGGAUCCACUGGGUUUAAAGGGUGCGUAGGCGGCGCGGUAAGUCGGGUGUGAAAUCUCGGGGCUUAACUCCGAAACUGCAUUCGAUACUGCCGUGCUUGAGGACUGGAGAGGAGACUGGAAUUUACGGUGUAGCGGUGAAAUGCGUAGAUAUCGUAAGGAAGACCAGUGGCGAAGGCGGGUCUCUGGACAGUUCCUGACGCUGAGGCACGAAGGCCAGGGGAGCAAACGGG
rnacentral:rRNA from 1 species